UUCUAAAAAAAAAAGACACAAGCCAAAGAAAAAAAAAUUAUUUCAGAACAUUUAUCAUUUGCCAUGAUUCUAAUUUAUAUAGGAUGGAACAUAACCUCAAUCCUUUCUCUAUGCACUAAGGAAAUCUGACUGUGGAAGAUACUGGCUUAUGAUUUAUACUUUAACACUGCACAUGUGGUGCAUUAGAUACAAAACAGUGAAUGCUCAGUAAAUACCUGUGUUAAGUGAUCUUUAUUUCUCUAGAACAGGAUUUCACAACUUCAGUGCCAUCAACAUUUUGGACUAUAUAACUCUUUGCCAUGGGGGUUUGUCUUAUACCUUGAAGGAUGUUUAGCAGCAUCUCUGGCCUUUGCCCACCAGAUGCCAGGAGCACACUCACAGUUUUGUCAACCAAAACUGUCUCCGGACAUUACCAAAUGCCACCUGAGUGCAAAAUCACACCACCUGAGAACCACUGCUCUCUGAUGAUUCACUAAGAUCUGUGUAAUAAUUCUCACAAUAAUCCUUGCUAGAGACAAAAAGGAUUUGCUGUAUAAUUUUAGUAGCUUUCUACUGGUAAAAUUUUAAUCAUAUUUCAAGAAUAGCAAAAAGGUUUAUAAUUAAGUUUUAUAAAAAUUCCAAAUGUAAUCAAGUUAUAUUUGUAACUUACAUAAACUUCAAAAAUGGUAGUGGUUCAAAUGUAUGUCUUUCAAUAGACUGUAUUUUAUUGCAGGAUAAAUCUCUAGGAAAACGAAAAUAUUGCCUUGAUUAGUUAUUAAAUGUCAAUUGGUAUGAAUAACAGCAAGAGUUUAGAAUAAUACUGAAUACCUGUUUUUCAUCUCAACUCUAAACGUUUGGACUUGUAUUUGAACAUUCCAGAGCCCCUAACCCUGCCCAUACCUCUCCUAGAGUCUCACCUUCAUGGUUUUAAUAAAUAUACAACAUAAUAGACUUUGGAAUUAAUUUUUCCUGAGAGCAGUAGACUUGAUUAGAUGCCCUUUUGUAGUGUCAUCAAAUCUUAGAUUAUGAGCUCAAAGAUUUUAUCUCUAUAUACACAAUUUCUAAUAUUAAAAAAAAUAGUCGGGCCGGGUGCGGUGGCUCAGGCCUGUAAUCCAGCACUUUCGGAGGCCGAGGCUGGCAGAUCCUGAGGUCAGGAUAUCGAGACCAUCCUGGCUAACACGGUGAAACCCUGUCUCUACAAAAAAAAUAAAAAAUUAGCCGGGCCUAGUGGCACGUGCCUGUAGUCCUAGCUGCUCAGGAGGCUGAGGCAGGAGAAUGGCAUGAACCCAGGAGGCGGACCUUGCAGUGAGCCAAGAUUGCACCACUGCACUCCAGCCUGGGCGACAGAGCGAGAUUCCGUCUCAAACAAACAAACAAACAAACAAACAAGUCUCACAUUUCUACACCUUCUUAGUUUAGGUCUGUUUUCCUAAGCCACUUCAAUAUCAGAAGAAAUAAAAGACAUCCUUUCACAUCAUUUGAAAGGAAGCUACCCCUUUACCUAAUACGUAACUUUGAACUAAUUCAAAUCAUAUUAAUAGAAUUAAUUUCUAUCAUAUUAAUAGAAAUUCAUUUUUGGUUUUGUAUUGCUUUAAUAUUUCAUAAAAAAAAAUUUCUUCAGUUAUACAGUGAUGGAGUUUGUCCCUCCCUCUUUACCUGGAUGGUGUAACGUUGUCUGGCUGAUGUCUCCAUCUCUAGUCUCUCCCUACCUAAACUAUCCUGCACACAGUCAUCAUAUAAACUCUCCAGAAGUGGCUUGCAAAGACCAGCAUCUCCUGGGAAAUUACUGAAGAUGCAAAUUCUUGGUCCCACUCUAGACCAACUGAAUCAGUAACUACGAGGGUGGAGUCCAGAACUGAGUUCUAACGUGCCCUCUCAAUGACUGUGAUGCAGAUCUACCUUACAGCGCUGCUGUGGUAACACGGUUCCCCAUGUUGGCUCCUCAGCUUGGCAUUCAAAGCUCUAGAAGAUCUGGCUCCAUUUUCCUACUCUCCCUUCUUGUACUCUACGGGUACUCAUGGCAUUCCUUGAAUACUUUCCUGUGUUUUGCCCUCCCACUUUCCUUUUGCAAGUUUAGAGUAUUUUCCCCAAGAUGUCUGUCUGGUGUUACACAAUGGCCCUUUAAAGUCCUAUUCAAAUGGCAUUGUUCUAGUAACAUCCUCCUGGGUCCAAAUUGAAGGCAUUUUUUCCUCUUCUAUGUUCGAGAAACAAUUUAUCCCUCCUAGUGCCCACAUCCAUUUCUUCUUCUUAAUGUAGUUAUUUUUUAUCCCAUUUCUUCUGAGCAUAAACUCCCUGAAAGCAUGGACUAGGUCUUGCUCAUCUGCAUUGCCCACCAUGUUUAAAACUGACACAUGGAAAUAAAGCAAACUCAAAUAUUUGUAAAAUAAAUGAAUAGCUGGGGGAGUGAGUAGAAGGAAAAUAACUAUUUUAAAGGAAAUGUAGUUUUAUUAUUUCAUGGUCUCUGUAGCACUUUGGCAUCCACCUGAGGGUCUUUACACCCACUUUCCUUAAGCCUUCUAUAUUUGAAAGAAUCUGUUUGCAAAAGAGCAUCACUAAUGAGCUUAAUAAGGAUUAAUGACAUACAGACCUCUAUGGACAAAGGGUAAGAAUCAAGCUUUCAUAGCAAUGAACAUAGUAUCUUCUUGUCUCUAAACAGACAGAAAUACAGGGAUCCCUUUCUGGUAACAGGGCUGGGGCGAUCGUUAUUUUGUAAUUAGUGAAGAGUUAGGGGCAUUUCUGAUGUGCUUCUUAGUGUAAACAUUUCUAGCUCUACCAGUUAACCAUCAUUUUAAACAUCUGUUUUAAUAUAACAAUUCCUGAAAUGAAAUCCUUAAUACCAGUCUAUUCUCUUGGUAGCUUAAUAUUCUUGAUAAUAUUAUUGAUAUAAUUCAGCUAUUUUUAAUAUUUAAAUGUUAAUUUAAUUCCGAUUAAAUUACCAAAAAAUUCUGGAUUAAUGAUGUUCAAAUGAAUGCAGGUGGUCUCCAUUUUCUUCUCCUUUAGGCAACCAUCUGAAGUUAACUUUAGUUCCUUUCAUCCUACUAAACCAACUUUUUGAAAUUUUUUUUGGUGAAGGUCAGACAGUAAAUAUUUUAGGUUUUAUGGGCCACAUAUGAUCUCUCGCAUAUUUCUUUGUUUCUUUUCUUUUUCUUUCACAGUCCCUUUAAAAAUGCAAAACCCAUUCUUAACUUAAUGGGCUAUUUAAAAAUAGACCAUAAAUUAGAUUGGAUCUAUUGGUUGUAGACUGAAUAGAAAAAUAAUGAUAUGUGAACCCUUAUAAAACAAGGUUCAUAUGGGUGUCAGUCACUGCUCAGAUUUUCUUACCAUGUGAAAUGUUUUUGUCUGUAUUUUGUCUAUACAACUUAAAAACUGAAAAUGCACAGGAGGUAGCUAGUGCUAGAGAUGGGCUGAGACCCUAUACAAACUUACAGAAUUGCAGAAUUUUAUUGCUCAAAGAAAUCUGAGAGAUUAUCUAAUUUGAACCCCUUAUUCAUUUUACAGAUAAUAUGACUAAAAACUCAUAAAUAUAAUUAACUAACUUACAAAUACUGGAGGGAUAGCAGGCCUUCAAAUGAAUCCUUGUGUAAUUCAGUCAAGUUAUUUUCUCUGAGAAUUCUGGAAAAUGAAGAAGUUAUUUCUAGAUUAAAAUGCAAACUACAACUAUUUGCUACACAGAACCAUCUCCUGCAUGUGGAGGAAAGCUGGGUCAUGGUCACUUCAAGAUGGUGGGAUCUGCUCUGCUUUCAUUCAAACCUUUUCUUAUAUUUUCCUUUUUGUGUCCAUCUCUCUCCACCACCACCACAAACACACACACACACACUCAAGCACACCCCUUGAAGAGUGGGUUUCUUCCCACCAAAUUCUAUUAUUUCAUGCCUCCUCUCUAGAUCACAAAAUCCCUUUUAGAAUCCAACUCUGGGUGGCACCAAGAUCAGCAGAACCUCCAUUUCCUCCUCUCUUUUCCCAAACCUUAUUAUGAAAGCCCCACAUGGAACCAUGUCAGGGCUGCAAGUGAAGCCAUUCAACCUUUUUCCCCCCAUCAAAAAAACUGGAGAACUAUAAUGUGCAUAAAGUGCACAUAACAUAAAUGUUGUUUAUAUUUAAUUUAAUUUAAUUUUUGAGACAGGGUCUCACUCUGUUCCCAGACUGGUCUCAAACUCCUGGCUCAAGUGAUCCUCCUGUGUCUGCUUCCCAAAGUGCUGUGACUGCAGACAUGAGCCACCUCACCUGGCCAAAAUAUUCAGUUUAAUAAUUAUGAAGCAGAUACCCAUGUAAACAUCGUUACAAAAGAUCAUUGCUAGCAUGCCAGAAGCCCCAGUGUGCCCCUUUCCAAUCAUAUCCCUCUCUCUAACCCUAAUAGGUAACCACUAUCCUGACCUUUGUAAUAAUUUUCUUGUUUUUAAAAUGUAGUUCUGGCCUGGCGUGGUGGCUCAUGCCUGUAAUCCCAGCACUCUGGAAAGCCAAGGUGGGUGAAUCACCCACGGUCAUGAGUUUGAGACCAGCCUGGCCAACAUGGUGAAACCCUGUCUCUACUAAAAAUAUAAAAAUUAGCUGGGUGUGAUGGAGGGCACCUGUAAUUCCAGCUACCCAGGAGGCUGAGGCAGGAGAAUCCCUUGAACCCGGGAGGUGGAGGUUGCAGUGAGCCAAGAUCGCACCAUUGCACUCCAGCCUGGGCAACAAGAACAAAAUUCCAUCUGAAAAAAUAAAUAAAGCAAUUCUCCUGCCUCAGCUUCCCAAGUAGAUGGGAUUACAGGCACCCACCACCACGCCUGGCUACUUUUUGUAUUUUUAGUAGAGAUGGGGUUUCGCCCUAUCGGCCAGGCUGGUCUCAAACUCCUGACCUCAGGUGAUCCGCCUACCUCCCAAGGUGCUGGGAUUAAAGGCGUGAGCCACCGCGCCUAGCAUAUGUUUAUUUUUAAUUUAGAACUCAUCGUGGCUUGUCUAUAUACAUUGAAAUAAUGAUGUGACACACAAACUGUUGUGAAAAAUGUCAGUUACUUUGAAUGUAAGCAUUUUUUCCAAAAUCACUUAUGUGUCUAAACCAAUUCCUUCUAUAAAUCAGUAAGAAAAUGAUAAAACAAUUCAACAGGAAAAUGAACAAAGGCCAGAAAACUCAGAGAAGAAACACAAAUGUUCAAUAAACAUAUAAAGAUACUAAAUUAAAUUCAUGAGUAAUCAGAAAAAUUCACAUUUAGAUGGAAUCCCUUUUAUUCAUCCAUAACUUCAGCAAAAAGUUGGAGAAUACCCAGCGGUGAAAAGGUGUUGGGAAAUGAAUGCUGUCAUAUUCUGCUGACAAUAGAGUAAGUUGGCACAAAAUUUUUGAAGGCAAUUAAAAUUUUAUAUCUACAUAGUCUUCACCCCAAGAAUUCCAUUUCCAGAUAUCUAUGCUACAGGAAUACUUGCACAUGUUCACAAAGAAGCAUGUACAGGGAUUUCAUUGCAGCAAUGCAUGUAACAAGAAAACUAAGCAUAAUCUAAACAUUCAUCAAUGGGGGAAUUAUUAAAUAAACCAUGAUGCAUCCAUACUAUGGAUUAUGCAGGAGUUUAAAUGAAUGGGGUGACCCUCUCAGUACUGGGAAGGAAAGAAAUCUAAGGCAUAUCAUGAAGUGAAAGAAUCAAGUUGCAAGAUGUUACCCUUUAUGCGAAGAAAAAAUUUUAAAACCACAAAACAAAUCUAUUUUGCUUUAUGUAAAUAUGUAUGUAGGUAAAUGAGGAAAAGUCUGGAAGCAUGUAUACUAAAUGCAGAGUAGCAUUACUUCAGGGAUGAGGGAGUAGGGCACAAGGAGAGUUUUUGUUAUAUCUGUUAUUGCAUUUUUAUAUAUUAAAAAUGGAAUCAUGGGCUGCGGGUGGUGGCUCAUGCCUGUCAUAUGAACACUUUAAGAGGCCAAGGUGGGAGGAUCACUUGAGCCCAGGAGUUCAAGACCAGCCUAAGCAGCAUAGGAAGACCCUGUCUCUACAAAAAAUACAAAAUUAGGUGGGUGUGGUGGCAUGCACCUGUGGUCCCAGCUACUGGGGAGGCUGAGGUGAGAGGAUCACUUGGGCCUGGGAGGUGAAGGCUGCAGUGAGCUGUGAUUGUGCCACUGCACUGCAGCCCAGAGGACAAAGUAAGACCCUGUCUCUGAAAAAAAAAAAAAAAAAAAAAAAGAGAACAAAAAGGAAUAUAACCAUGUACUAUUUGUAUGAUAAAAAAUAAAUUUAAAUUGCCUCUUAUUUUAAAGAGAGCCUACCAAAUUUAAUUUUAAAAUAACCAUACAAUUGCAAUCAACAGUGGUUGAUUUGGGGCGUGGAGGAGAAAUAUCUUUCCUCAGAGGUACCGACCUCAAAAUUCUGGACCAAGAAGGAUCUUACAAUGCAGUUAGCUUUUUGUCAUAUUUGGAGAGAAUAUACUCACAGUUUCUCGGUCCAACUGUAUGCUUUCCAUACAUUUCCAUCAAUGUAAGAAAUAUAGUUUCCUUGGAAAUUUCUGUGAAGAAACACAGUUUAUAUCCUUGAAUAGGUAGGAAAACAAUGAACACGAUAAGUAAAAGAAUCAUUGCAACCUUGUUGGGGAUAUUCAGAAACAGAAAAUAACACCUGCUUUCUCAUUUCCAGAGCUAUCAGCUUCCCAGUUUGCACAAUUCAUCAAGAAAUUAUGCGGGGUCACUGGCACAAAUGAUGAGGCAUCUCCUGGAAGCUUAACUUCUUAUCCAUCCCAUCUCUUGGACAGAUGAUGCCAGUUAAUUACUUUGAAUGCUCCUCCACCAAGCCAAGGCCAGACUCCUGCAAUCAUAGGAUGGCAACACCACCUCUAAAGCACAGAACUUCAGGCUUUGCUUCGGAAGUGGCACCAUGGUCUCUUCAUUUUCCCUUUCUUCAAGGUCAGAAAACUGAAGCUGUUAGGAGUUUUAGUGUUAAGUUCCUUCCGAGGAUGUUAAUUAGGCUUCAAACUGUUUUGUUCUGAGAAAUAAAAACUAAACUCCAGUCAUUCAAGCUAACAGUUGAGGUGUUCUAUGGCUUCAAAAUCAAGUAAGAUUUGUAAAUGAAUUGCUAGGUGCAACCAUUACUUAUUAUAUGCCACACAAACAGUGGAGAAAAUUAUGGACACCACCAUCCAAGUGAUUGAGAUUAUUAAUUUUAGGUAGCAGGCCAAUUCAGACAUGUCCACUUAUCCUCAAUGGCAGGGGGCCUCUCACAUCCCCUCCCUGUAACCCAGUUCAAUACUUCUGUCUAAAGUCUAGAAUUUCAAUGUUGAAAGGAGAGCGUGGUUAGUGAGAGAAAAUCCACAAAGUUUAUCCUGAUGAUCCUUUCUGACCAUCCAUUGAAACCAAAGUAGUAAUUCACCAGUUCUUGGCAUCAGGAGCUGUUUCAGGCAAGGGCCUGAUGUGCAACUGCCUUAUGUCUGCUGCCAAGAGGAACCUAAAGUCACAAGAGACAGACCCACAAAUAUCACAGCCUGCCAGAGAUUUUAUUUUGGAUACACCUGAGAUUUAUCAAUACCAACUGUGCAAAGAAAAGAAAUUGUUUCAGUCUUCCCAUUCAGUAGCUCCUUCUUGAGAACAUGACCUGAAGAAUAGAUAAGAUGAACCCACCCAUCCCCCACCCCAAGUUACCCCUGCUUAAAGAGGAAAUACACAUACCUCUAUACAUUUUACAAGCAACUAAAACAACUAGAGGUUCAUCUGCAUGUAUAAGCUUCUUUGACAAUGCAAAUAUCUACUGAGUGUUAAUUCUUGAAAUAUUUUACACAUUUCUGUGAAUUUCUUACAUCACCAGUUCUUUCUUAUGUCUAUUUCAUUUUGUAAGUGUAGAAUAUGAUUAUAUUCAUGAAACUCAAAUGAUACAAAUAGUCAAAUUUAUUGUAUUAGAAAUUAAUAAGAAUAGUAAAGUUAAUUCUUUGUUGAUUUGUUUAUGCACCUUCCUCUGUCACUGGUUUAUAAGCUCCAUAAGUGCCAGAGGAAAACAUAUCUUAUUCUUUUUUCAUUCCCAGAACAAAGCACAGUUCUUGGCAUACAAUACAGGAUAGAUGGUCUGUUGAUUGAGUGAAUGAAUAAAACAAUGAGCAAGUAAAAAAUGAAAUUACUUUUUCCCACUGAAGAGAAAGAGAAACGCUUGUUGGGAAGGAGAAAUGAAGACUAUUUUUUUUUUUUUUUGAGACGGAGUCUCCCUCUGUCGCCCAGGCUGGAGUGCAGUGGCAUGAUCUCGGCUCACUGCAAGCUCCGCCUCCCGGGUUCACGCCAUUCUCCUGCCUCAGCCUCCAGAGUAGCUGGGACUACAGGCGCCCCCCACCACUGCCGGCUAAUUUUCUGUAUUUUUAGUAGAGAUGGGGUUUCACCGUGUUAGCCAGGAUGAUCUCCAUCUCCUGACAUCGGGAUCCACCCACCUCAGCCUCCCAAAGUGCUGGGAUUACAGGCGUGAGCCACCACGCCUGGCAAUGAAGACUAAUUUUUAAACGUUGAGUGCUACCACGGAGACCAGCCUGUAACAUGAGUCACAGUGGAGACUUUCGGAACAUCUAGGAAACUUCAGAAGGGCUCUGAGCCCCUGGGUGGUACAGACAGUUGUCACCUUGGAUAACAUUGCCACAGUUCUUGCUGGUGACCAUUUCCCUUCAUUUCACUGAAACAAAAACAAAAACAAAAAACCCUCACAGGUGCCUUAGGCCUUUCCUUGAUUUUAAAACAUUAUUCUCUUUUCUGUAUUUAUAAAAAGCAAAAAAGACAGCAACUAGGUGUAUGUGCUAAAGUAGAAAAGAACACUUAAGGCCAGGAGCAGUGGCUCAUGCCUGUAAUCCCAGCACUUUGGGAGGCUGAGGUGGGCAGACUGCCUGAGGUCAGGAGUUCGAGACCAGCCUGACCAAUAUGGUGAAACCCUGUCUCUACUAAAAAUACAAAAACUAGCAGGGCGUGGUGGUGGGUACCUAUAAUCCCAGCUACUUGGGAGGCUGAGACAGGAGAAUCUGGGAGGCAGAGAUUGCAGUGAGCAGAGACCGGGCCAUUGCACUCUAGCCUGGGGAACAAGAGUGAAACUCCACCUCGAAAAAACAAAAAAUAAAAGGACCCUUAAACUAGAUAACAGUGGGGGUCAAGUAGUAACCCAAGGCUCUGAGUUCAGUAAGUAAAUAAAUCUAAUAUGAAUGCCCUCUCCUCUCACUCAUCUAUUAACUUGUAGAACAUUUCCUUCAUUACUGCAUCAGCGAUGAGCUUUAUGCUGUGAAAUUCUCAAAAUCUAAAGCUUAUGAAGUGGUCUCAAGGUCCAAAGCGCACUAAAAACUCAUUACUUACAAAAUGAUGCCAAGUAACUGUUUCAUCAUCUUUACCAUACCUUUACCAUAUUUGAGUGGCUAUGUGAAAUGGUCACAGGUUAGAAACACAUCAUCGUCCAAAAGUUAAAUAAUAUUUCACAGGUAAUCAUUUCAGUCACAGGAAGUGGAACCAGGAUUGAAGAGGGUGUUGAAUAAGCUACAAAAGUGGGUAUAGUAUACCUGGAGUCAUUACUAAGCAGAGUUCUCAGAUUUGAUCAAGGUUAAUUCAAUGAGAAAUGGAAUAUAGACAAUAGGCAACAAGAUUAGCAGGAAGCAGUCAGAUCAAGUAGCCAAUCAGGAAUUGAAAUCGGUCCUUGAAAAUGGAAAGGUGAUUGAAUUGAGGCAUACAAUGAGAUAUCAUUCUGUGGCUCUGGGAAAGUAAAAUUGGUUGGCAUGUUAACAUGGAAUAGGAUUUCUACAAGGCCGCUUAAAGAAUGUUUCCAUCCUCUGAGAACUGAAGGGAGUUCCAAAUAGGCAGUUUGUGACUGAUGAUGAGCAUGUUGAUGAUAAAGUCUCCUUUAUAUAACAGCCGGCAGACGACUUGGUCACGCCCACACAUUUUAAAUUCACAUAAAGGUAAAUAUAUGGUCAGGCGUGGUGGCCCACACCUGUAGUCUCAGCACUUUGGGAGGCGAAGGCGGGUGGAUCAUUUGAGGUCAGGAGUUCAAGACCAGUCUGGCCAACAUGGUGAAACUCUAUCUCUACUAAAAUACAAAAAUUAGCCAGGCAUGGUGGUGCAUGCCUGUGGUCCCAGCUACUCAGGAGGCUGAGGCAGGAGAAUCGCGUGAACCCGGGAGGCGGAGGUCGCAGUGAGCCAAGAUCGCACCACUGCCCUCCAGCCUAGGCAACAGAGACUCCGUCUCAAAAACAAGUCAAUAUAGCUGGGCAUGGUGGCUUGUACCUAGCUACUUAAGAGGCUGAGGCAGGAGGAUUGCUUGAGGUCAGGAUUUACAGACCAGCCUGGGCAACACAGGGAUAUUCUGUCUCUAAAAAAAUUUUAAAAAGUACCACCACCAUGCCCAGCUAAUUUUUUUUGUAUUUUUAGUAGAGACGGGGUCUCACCAUGUUAGCCAGGCUGGUCUCAAACUCCUCACCUCAGGUGAUCCACCCGCUUCAGCCUCCCAAAGUGCUGGGAUUACAGGCAUGAGCCACAGUGCCCGGCCCAGAACUUGCAUUUCUAACAAUUCCCAGGUUGUGCUGUUUGGGGAACCAUACUUUGAGAAACACUUCCCUAUAAUCUGAUAGGUUAUUUCCCCUAAGAUCCAGAUGAGUAAAAAUUAAUACACAUUAGAUGAAAUUCCAGAAGUUAUCUUCAAACUUUGCUACUCAUUGAAUGUCAUGAAGAUAUUGGAAAAAAAAGAAAAAAACAAAAAACAACCUUGCUACUCAACAAGGGAUUUGCUAUUAUCACAUUUCAGAGAAAUUCAGAACCUCAGGCCUAAACCCAGGCCUACUAAAUCAGGAUCUGCAGUUUCUCACAAUCUUCAGGUGAUUUCUAUGGUCAUUAAAGUUUGAAAAGCUGCCUCGAAACAGUCCUUCCUAAAACUGAAGUGGAGGUGCCACAAAAAUCAUCUGGUAAAUUGUUUAAAGUAAUCCCAAAUGCAACUCAAAUCUACAGAAUCCCAGGUGAAGCUCAGUAAUCUGUAUUUUUAUCCUUCUCCCCAAAUAAUUCUGAUGUGCAGGCAAGUUUGAAAACCACUGCUUUAAAGAAAAUGGAUACUCCCCUUACCAAGCAGAAAGUAGGAUUUUGGAAACUGAUGCAAGGGAAGCAAAAAAGAUGCCUCAGGAGGCACGAUUACAACAGGAUUGAUGCAAACGGAAGCUGAAGCUUAACCAAAGACAUUAAUAUACGCCCACAAAAGAAAAUGCUAAGGAAGUCAAGUGGUCUGCAUGAAUUCUGAAGAAAAAUGGAGAACCAAAGAACAAAAUUUGUCAAUGAACUUCCAGCACAGUCUAGGUUAAGGGAGUGAAUUUCUUGACUGAAUGGCACAGACUCUGUACCACCUGAUUGGCUGUUACCUUAAUGGAGGAAUUAUAUUACAAUGUAUAGGUACUUUAAUUAGAAUGACCUGGCAGUUACUGAGGCAAAAUUUUCCGCUCCUUUGUAUUCUGUAAUACAAGAAGGAUCUACAUGGAUGUUCUGUUCUCUGAACUGUCUGGAUGAACCGGUCAACGGCACUCAUCAUACCUUAGUUUUUAAAUCUGCAUUGUGGUCAUAAUCUGUUAUUUAAUUAAUUUCUCGUAUUUUUAAUAAAAACUUUGCCUAUA